rnacentral:rRNA from 1 species
UAGGGAAUCUUCGGCAAUGGACGGAAGUCUGACCGAGCAACGCCGCGUGUGAGAAGAAGGUUUUCGGAUCGUAAAGCUCUGUUGUUAGAGAAGAACGUUGGUAGGAGUGGAAAAUCUACCAAGUGACGGUAACUAACCAGAAAGGGACGGCUAACUACGUGCCAGCAGCCGCGGUAAUACGUAGGUCCCGAGCGUUGUCCGGAUUUAUUGGGCGUAACGCGAGCGCAGGCGGUUCUUUAAGUCUGAAGUUAAAGGCAGUGGCUUAACCAUUGUACGCUUCGGAAACUGGAGGACUUAUGUGCAGAAGGGGAGAGUGGAAUUCCAUGUGUAGCGGCGAAAUGCGUGGCACUAUGGAGAAACACCUGUGGCGAAAGCGGCUCUCUGGUCUGUAACUGACGCUGAGGCUCGAAAGCGUGGGGAGCAAACAGG